GAGCUUCACUCGGCACACUUCAUAGGGCGGAGCAACUCAAACUCCCCCUCAUCUUCCUCUCUUGCUUAGCGCCCGUGCGCAAGAAAGGGGGCUCUCCGAUAUCCACACAAUGAACUGUUGCCGAGAGCAUCA
ensembl:ncRNA F21C3.10 ncRNA